UCUCUUCAAAAAAAUAAAAUAGAAGCAGAUAUUUUGAAACACCGAGAUAGAGAUAUAAGGUUCAAUACUUAUUUGGCCAUCGAAGUUUCCCUUACCUAUACUUGCUGAAAUAGGGAAAAACUUAGAGUCGUCACUUUUUCCUCAUUCUUAAGAUCGGAAAAAUCAUUGAGAAUUUGAAACAAUGUUAAUGAGCAGGAAGCACUAGUUCAACUAGGCCCACAAAAAUGGGAAUUAAACACAUGGAAAAAAGAAUAAAAUCUGCCUGUGAUAACACCUUGUGCGACCGGAACUAUGCAGUAUAAACAAGUUUUGCAAGGCCACUGUUGCAUUGGUGCAUAUUGAUAAACUCAAAAACGGAUUUAAUGAACGAGUAUAAAUAGAGCAAGUGAACAGAAUGCAUUGAGCAGUUGUUUCAGUAAACACUCUGGUGAAAUCCUCCUUUACUUCACAGUCCCAGUUCAUGCAAGACACCAAUAAAAUGGAACUCAGUAAAACUAUCGCACUGAUCUCUAUCCUGGCUGUAUUGAUUGGACUGGGAGGUGUUUUGGCAGAGGAGGAAGAGGAAUGUAUAGCUUCAAUUUUGAGCAUGUUGGAGGAGGCGGAAGAGUAAACCUCUUUCAGAAUCAUGGAAAUUCCCCCCCCCCCUUCAAAAAAGAAGCUAGCUGCUGGAUUGACUAAGAUUUAGAGUCCCCUAUGAUGUGUUCCCAUUAACUAUUAGAUCGAUGACGAUUAUGAGGAAGAGGGACUCAUAACUUGUGGGAGCAGGAAUGGAAAAGUAUUAAAAUGGGUUCCAUUGCAUUUUGACUAUAAUGCUAGAGAAUUCCAACUGUUUUCAUAAUUUAAGAAAAGUGUUGAAACUGAGAAAUGUGAAAUUUUAAGACCCUCAUUAGUUAAGUAAGAUAAAUAGAUAGUAAGAAUAAUAAAAGAGAUAUAAGCGUGUGCUUAAACUUUAAAAAAUAUUUUCAUUUGUAUAGUAUUAUUUUAAAAGUUGAUAUGAAACUAAAAGGCCUCUUUAAGUAUUACUGCAAAUGACAGAGAGACUACGAAAAAAGCCAAAA